GCAUUGGUGGUUCAGUGGUAGAAUUCUCGCCUGCCACGCGGGAGACCUGGGUUUGAUUCCCGGCCAAUGCA